rnacentral:rRNA from 1 species
GAUGAACGCUGGCGGCGUGCCUAAUACAUGCAAGUCGAGCGAACAGACGAGGAGCUUGCUCCUCUGACGUUAGCGGCGGACGGGUGAGUAACACGUGGAUAACCUACCUCUAAGACUGGGAUAACUUCGGGAAACCGGAGCUAAUACCGGAUAAUAUAUUGAACCGCAUGGUUCAAUAGUGAAAGACGGUUUUGCUGUCACUUAUAGAUGGAUCCGCGUCGCAUUAGCUAGUUGGUAAGGUAACGGCUUACCAAGGCAACGAUGCGUAGCCGACCUGAGAGGAUGAUCAGCCACACUGGAACUGAGACACGGUCCAGACUCCUACGGGAGGCAGCAGUAGGGAAUCUUCCGCAAAGGGCGAAAGCCUGACGGAGCAACGCCGCGUGAGUGAUGAAGGUCUUCGGAUCGUAAAGCUCUGUUAUUAGGGAAGAACAAAUGUGUAAGUAACUAUGCACGUCUUGACGGUACCUAAUCAGAAAGCCACGGCUAACUACGUG